ACGGACCCCUUAGACACGGCAUGAGAAUUGUCGACUGCGGAACAUGGCGUGAAGGAUACAUCAAGGGCAUAUGAAACUUAUCUUCAUUUUAAGCAAGAGUAUUUAUAUGCACUGGCCCUGGAAACGAUAAUUUCGAGGCUCAACGAUGUACGGCACAAAUAGCUCUGAAUCAGCAAUAAAUUUCUAACAGACUGAACUGUGCAACAUUACAGAAGACGGCCAUCUUUAUACUUAUCGCUGAGAGGACAUAUUUUCUGAAACGGUCCUGGAGCUCCGCACAUGAAAUAAUUUAGAGUUUACUUGGGAAUCAUGGAUGAAUGGUUUAUGUACGAUGGAUUUUCGAAAAACACAAGCCUCAACUACUCUUCACAGAUUAAUCAAUUUUUCUUCCUUUAUGUGUCCUGUGACUACGUGUCUAAUUCAUUGCAGCAGAUACCAGUAAAACCUUGUCAUUUAUCCUGCAUUAUUUAUACAAUUAAAUUAUAAUUUGCGAAAAUUUACUUACAACGAAGACGUGCAAUAAACAGCUAUGCUUACCGUGGUUAAAGAGGAAAAGAAAGGCUUACAAAUUGUCUAGAAAAGUGAUAACGUAAUAAGUUUAAGGAACAAUUGCGUGGUAGGUCGAUGAAGCCGCAUAGCUGCCAAAACUAUGACAUUGUCCAUCACGUAUGUUACAUUUAAUAUGCACGACGUUGCGGGAGUUUGCUCCGCUACUGUAUUUAAUAGUUAAAGCGUGAACCAAAAGACAAAAGUGUCAAUUUUAUUCAAACCAUC